rnacentral:lncRNA from 1 species
CCCGGGGCUCACUGUUUUGUUCUCGGCCUAGCUGUCGCGGUGAACAGCAGGAGCCAUGGACCAGAUGGCUGGAGGGAGGUGCGAGCGGAUCGCACUGGCAGGCAAUUAGGCCUCAAACAAUGGCCCGUGAAAUGUCAGAAGUGGCAAGGAAGGGUCGUGGUGGAACAGCGGGAUGACAACCCUAGCCCCACAUCAUAUUCUUAUUAGCGGAGGUUAUUACAAUAGUAAUCAGCGUGCUCCAGGCGCAAAUUGGGUUUUUUGCUCCACUGCCACCAAUUUAGAAAACCAUUAAUGGCAAGAUAAGGCCCCCGUGGCUCACACCGGGCCAAGCCUGGGAACCUGCAGCCAACUCUCUGCUCAUGAACCUACACGCCCAUGCUCCAGGGGGCGCUCGAGCAAGCAUCCUGGCUCUUCUGGGACGACAGAGAAGAAAAAGCCAACCGCUUUCUAGGAGGUGCUGUACCUGCGGGACCAUAGAACUUUCUCAAAUGUGAAUCCUAUACAACAGUCACUUGGAUGAGACAACCUCAUGGAACAAAACAUUAAAGCCAAGUUUGCCACUAGAGCCAGAGCGCCAUAUACUGUGCCCUUGAGUCCUGCUUCAAGCCAGUCUGCUAGAAACGCUUAGCACUCGCAUGAAGAUCAGAGGACUUCUCUCCUUCCACCAUGAGGGGCCAAGAGAUUGAACUCACGUUGUCAGGGUUUGGAGGCAAGAACCGUCAUGUUUGGCAGCAAAGACCUCUACCUACUGAGCCGUCACCAUAGCCCUGCUGAGAUAGUUUCAUAACGAUAAAUGCACUCUACUUUUUGAUGAUGUUCUCAGUUCCAAAAUUGUCUC